rnacentral:rRNA from 1 species
GCCCAACAGCUAGCCCCCUCCCCACCAAAAACAACAAACCCCCAUCAAUAACCCCUAAUACCCUAACCUACUCCUAAACAAAUCAUUUUUCCUCCCUAGUACAGGCGAUAGAAAAGGAACUGUGGAGCAACAGAAAAAGUACCGCAAGGGAAAGCUGAAAGAGAAAUGAAACAACUCAGUAAAGCACAUAGCAGCAGAGAUAUAGCCUCGUACCUUUUGCAUCAU